ensembl:lncRNA
UUUCUGUUUAGUGUGUUGUUUCACCUGACAGGACUGUUUUGUUUCUGUCAUUCACGGUGUUGUUUUGUGUGUUCAGUUCUAAUAAAUUAACAUGGACACUUACCACGCUGCAUAUUGGUCUGAUCUUGACUACUCUUCCUCAGACAAAGAAUAGAUUUGUUACAGUCCGGUACACCAGUAUCUAUAGGUAGACUUUAUCUGUAUGCUUUAUCCCUCCAGCUAUCCAAUAAAUAUGGCUCCAUCUUUACGGUUCACUUUGGACCCAAGAAAGUGGUUGGAUACAAGAUGGUACAAGAUGGCAGGAUACAAGAUGGUCAAGCAGGCGCUGGUCAACCAUGCAGAGGAGUUUGGGGACCGGGGAAUGCCGCCUGUGUCCUAAGAUUUCACCAGUGGACAUGGUAUUCUGGUUGCCAAUGGAAACUCAUGGAAAGAGACAAUAUGCUUUUCCGUAGCGAACCUUAGACUUUGGCAUGGGCAAGAAAGGAAGUGAGGAGGAAAUUCGCUACCUAAUUCAAUUGUUAGAAAUAACAUGAGGGUAAAGCAUUUGACACAACCCAGCCAAUGAAUUAUGAUGUCUCCAAUGUAUCUCCAACAUUGUGUAUGGCAGCAGGUUUGAAUACUCUGACCCCAAGAUCCAAGCCAAUGAG